GAUGAACGCUGGCGGCGUGCCUAAUACAUGCAAGUCGAGCGAACAGACGAGGAGCUUGCUCCUCUGACGUUAGCGGCGGACGGGUGAGUAACACGUGGAUAACCUACUUAUAAGACUGGGAUAACUUCGGGAAACCGGAGUUAAUACCGGAUAAUAUAUUGAACCGCAUGGUUCAAUAGUGAAAGACGGUUUUGCUGUCACUUAUAGAUGGAUCCGCGCCGCAUUAGCUAGUUGGUAAGGUAACGGCUUACCAAGGCAACGAUGCGUAGCCGACCUGAGAGGGUGAUCGGCCACACUGGAACUGAGACACGGUCCAGACUCCUACGGGAGGCAGCAGUAGGGAAUCUUCCGCAAUGGGCGAAAGCCUGACGGAGCAACGCCGCGUGAGUGAUGAAGGUCUUCGGAUCGUAAAACUCUGUUAUUAGGGAAGAACAAAUGUGUAAGUAACUAUGCACGUCUUGACGGUACCUAAUCAGAAAGCCACGGCUAACUACGUG
rnacentral:rRNA from 1 species